AGGACGAACGCUUGCGGCGUGCCUAAGAAAUGCAAGUCGAACGGAUCAUCAGCAAUGGUGGUUAGUGGCGAACGGUCGCGUAACACGUAAGCAACCUGCCCUGAAGUGGGGGACAACAGUCCGAAAGGACUGCUAAUACCGCAUGUGAACGUUAGUCGGCAUCGACGGACGUUUAAAGCUUUAUGCGCUUUGGGAUGGGCUUGCGGCCUAUCAGCUUGUUGGUGGGGUAACGCCUACCAAGGCUUUGACGGGUAGCUGGUCUGAGAGGACGAUCAGCCGGAUUGGGACUGAGAUACGGCCCAGACUCCUACGGGGGGCAGCAAUUAGGAAUCUUGCACAAUGGGGGAAACCCUGAUGCAGCGACGCCGCGUGUGGGAUGACGGCAUUCGUGUUGUAAACCACUUUUUAUCAGGGAAGAAGAAUGUGACGGUACCUGGUGAAUAAGCCCCGGCUAACUACGCGCCAGCAGCCGC
rnacentral:rRNA from 1 species